AAAAGCUUUGAUCACUAUCGCAGCUUAAAGCGUGAUAACCGUGUCCCAAGUGCCAUAAAUAAAAAAAAAAUCUGGGGAAGUGAAAACGCUUCGGAGAAAGAAAAGGGUAAUACCGGUGCCAGCAGCCGCGGUAACCCCGGAGCCUCGAGGGGGGACCAUUCUCAUUGGGCCGAAAGCGCCCGUAGCAGGAUUAGUAAGUUCUCGGUGAAAUUGUCCAGCUUAACUGAACGAAUUGCCUUGAAUACUGUUAGCCUAGGGAUAGGGAGAGGUCAGGAGUAUGCUUGGGGGAGGGGUAAAAUCCUUUAAUCCUAAGUAGACUAUCAAUGGCGAAGGCACCUGAUUGGAACUAGUCCGACUGUGAGGGACGAAAGUUUUUUAUCAAACGGGUUUAGAUACCCCGGUAGUCCUAACCGUAAACGCUGCCCGCUGGGUGUUGCAAAUUCCUAGGGGUUUUGCAGUGCCGUAUUGAAAACGAUAGCGGGCCGCCUGGGGAGUACGGUCGCAAGGCGAAAACUUAAAGGAAUGGGGGGGGGAAAGGGCAAAUUCUUUAAACCUGCGGGACUAGCCCUUUAGUGGGGGGUUAAUUCUGAGCUGGGGGGAUUCAUGGGCAUAGUUUUUUCCUGAA
rnacentral:rRNA from 1 species